CUAGUCUUCAGUCCGUCACUGCACAUCAGUGAUCGGGUUUGGUAGCCCGGUAU
rnacentral:ncRNA from 1 species